GAUGAAUGCUGGCGGCGUGCUUAACACAUGCAAGUCGAGCGGUAAGGCCCUUCGGGGUACACGAGCGGCGGACGGCUGAGUAACGCGUGGUAACAUACCCCAGAGUGAGGGAUAACGCACCCAAAGGUGCGCUAAUACCGCAUAAUCUCUUCGGAGCAACGCAGUAAUGCGCUUUGGGAAUGGCCUGCGUACGAUUAGCUAGUUGGUGAGGUAAUGGCUUACCAAGGCGACGAUCGUUAGCUGGUCUGAGAGGAUGACCAGCCAGACUGGAACUGAGACACGGUCCAGACUCCUACGGGAGGCAGCAGUGAGGAAUAUUCCACAAUGGGCGAAAGCCUGAUGGAGCAACGCCGCGUGCAGGAUGAAGGCCCUCGGGUCGUAAACUGCUUUUAUAAGUGAAGAAUAUGACGGUAACUUAUGAAUAAGCACCGGCUAACUACGUGCCAGCAGCCGCAGUAA
rnacentral:rRNA from 1 species